AGUGAAACUGGAUGCAGUCUGACCAGCCAUGCCGCGUGCAGGAAGAAGGCCUUCUGGGUUGUAAACUGCUUUUGCCAGGGGAUAAAAUGGGCGUGCGCGCUUAAUUGAAGGUACCUGGUGAAUAAGCCACGGCUAACUACGUGCCAGCAGCCGCGGUAAUACGUAGGUGGCAAGCGUUGUCCGGAUUUAUUGGGUUUAAAGGGUGCGUAGGCGGUCCUUUAAGUCAGUGCUGAAAUACUCCAGCUUAACUGGAGGGGUGGCAUUGAUACUGGGGGACUUGAAUGAAGUCGAGGUAGGCGGAAUUGACGGUGUAGCGGUGAAAUGCUUAGAUAUCGUCAAGAACACCGAUAGUGAAGACAGCUUACUAGGCUUAUAUUGACGCUGAGGCACGAAAGUGUGGGGAUCAAACAGGAUUAGAUACCCUGGUAGUCCACACUGUAAACGUUGAUAACUCGCUGUUGGCGAUAUACAGCCAGCGGCUUAGCGCAAGCGAUAAGUUAUCCACCUGGGGAGUACGCCGGCAACGGUGAAACUCAAG
rnacentral:rRNA from 1 species